UGACAGCGCCACAGGUUAAGGAAACAAUUCCCUUUCGCUUUUGCAGUGUAUUCCAGGUGAUGUAAUUGUGCGUCCCUUAUUAACCAGCCCCCGGGCCCACGUACCCCCCACAGCCUUUUCAUCACCCGAGGUGCCAGGGCAGCAGGCCCAAGAGAAGCCCAGAGGCUCUGCCCGCGCCCUCGCGCUGGGGACUCGGGCCUGUGCGCGCCGCCCUGCCCUCCGCGCCCUGCCCCGCGCCGCCCCGGGCACAGAGCAGAGCCGGCCGCCUCGCCGGGGCGGGCUGGGGACUCACCUGCAGCAGCACGGCCAGCAGGAAGCACAGAUUUCGCAUAGAGGCUGUGUCUGGGAGGAAAUGCUGUCACCGUCUGCAACAGAGGUAGAAGCAACAGAGAAUGAACCCUCCCGAGACGCUGGCUGUGGACUGCUGCUUCCCUUUGCUGACUGAGUCUGUGCUGAUCAGCCAGACGCAUACGACUCACUAGAGUUAUGUCGCUUUUAAAGCUGUCACCAUCAGGGAUGUGGUUUAUGCCAGUUCCUCUCUCCCAGGAGACAGCCCGCAUCACACAACAUUUCACUCAGCUGUGUGGCUGAACGCUGACAAACUCAAUUUGUGGAAAGCAGGCGCGAGUUGACACCAUGCUGUGGCAGUUGUCCUGAUGGGAGCAAACGACUCAUUUCACUCCAAGGUGGGACCCACCUUCUCCGGAAGCAUGCUUGUGCACAAGAGUGUAGCGGAUAAGGAAGGCAAGCUGACACAAAGUCGAAGAACUCCAGGAGUUGGAGGGAACAGAGGGGGAUGGAAGGGGAAGGGGAUGAGAAAAAGAAUUAAGAUGUGUUGUGUGUAUGUCCAAACUUCCCCACAAUAAAUGUA